rnacentral:rRNA from 1 species
UACGUAGGGUGCAAGCGUUGUCCGGAAUUAUUGGGCGUAAAGAGCUUGUAGGCGGUUUGUCGCGUCUGCUGUGAAAUUUCGGGGCUCAACCCCGAACUUGCAGUGGGUACGGGGCAGACUAGAGUGUGGUAGGGGAGACUGGAAUUCCUGGUGUAGCGGUGAAAUGCGCAGAUAUCAGGAGGAACACCGAUUGCGAAGGCAGCUCGCUGGAACGUUAACUGACGCUGAGACGCGAAAGCGUGGGGAGCAAACAGG